GGGGGAGAGGUUGCGGAAGUAUGGGUAACUCUCGGGCUAUCAGGCCAACAUGGCCAAAUCCAGCGCCCUCCCGAUCAGCAUGACCCAAUCUGACAUAGAAAACAUACACCGUACAUACAACAUACAGAUGGAGCGAGAGGCCCUUAAAUAUUUGGGGAUAAGCCUUACUGCGGAUCCAGGUGCCCUGUACGCCCGCAAUUUUGCGCCCUUGUGGAGAACCAUAUUCAAAGACUUAGAAACAUGGCUGGAUAAGCCCGUAUCAUGGAUAGGCC